GCUGUAUGUAGCUCAGUGGCAGAGCGCUUGCCUAGCAUGCAUGAGGCACUGGGUUCAAUCCUUAGCAUUGCA
rnacentral:tRNA from 1 species